AGCACCUCUAGUGGCUGGUUGUGAUGCAGCCACUUGAGACAAUCUUAACUCUCCAAUGUAAACGUUGCAGUUUUAGAGAAAAAGUAAUGUUGUACUUUGCAGGGUUAAGGGAACAGGGAAACUGCAUCCGAUGAGUUUAAUGAGAUGAAGUGGUCUGCGUGCCUAUAGUGUCCCUUUAAAUACCUGCCCUGAUUUGAGGAAAGAGACCUUUCUCUUGUAAAAAAUAAAUAAAAAAAUACCAUAUCACUUACACUGCUAUACCUAACCAUUCCAAUCUGACCACUUCAGUUUGUUUUUCCAGCUAUGAUCAAUUAUGCACUCUAGCGUCUUCCCCAGCUAUGAAACGGGCAAGGACAGCUUCCCCC